CCUCCCAUUACUUCUCUCUCUCUCCUCCGUUCCUGGCAUUUCGAAAUCCCGCAGAACCCUAGCCGCCAACUCUAGCGAAACUGCUUGUACCUUCCCUCAUCUCCAUGAUCGGAAUUCAUCAGGGUGAAACGGCGACUACCACGACGACGGAAUCCCGGUUCAUACCCAUGAAAUUAAUUUUGGGUGGCGGGUCCAGUUCAAUUUACUUUUGAUUUCGACUGUGGGGUAAAAGGUACAAAAAGGUCAAGAAAUCUUCAUGAAGAGGGCGUUAGGGUGGCAAGAAUAGGUUCAACGAGUGCAAGAAUCGAUUCGAGAAUGACUUUGACGAUGAUAUGCCCACUACAUUAACGCAACGACAAGCUUUAAAGAUGUUUAAAGAUGUGCUACAUUAUUAUUUUGUUGUAGAUUAUGAUGUGCGAAAAUUGUAUUUUAAUGUAGAUUAUAAGUUGUUUGAUGUGGGGCAGAAGUUAUAUCCAUUCCCCAAGGGUUUAAUAGUCCAUGGGGCUAGGGUGUAGUACCAACCCAGUAGCACAACGUUCACUAAAGGCAAGGAGUUAGAGCCGUUCUUGUAAGAUUCAAUUAUUUAUUGUUUUGUGUAGUAGUCUC